CGGUUAAGCGUUGAUGAAAUAUUGAUAUAUAUCCCUGUCGACAGGGAUAUAUAUCAAUAUUUCAUCAACGCUUAAC
rnacentral:miRNA from 1 species